rnacentral:rRNA from 1 species
GGGUUGUGAGGUUAAGCGACUAAGCGUACACGGUGGAUGCCCUGGCAGUCAGAGGCGAUGAAGGACGUGCUAAUCUGCGAUAAGCGCCGGUAAGGUGAUAUGAACCGUUAUAACCGGCGAUUUCCGAAUGGGGAAACCCAGUGUGAUUCGUCACACUAUCAUUAACUGAAUCCAUAGGUUAAUGAGGCGAACCGGGGGAACUGAAACAUCUAAGUACCCCGAGGAAAAGAAAUCAACCGAGAUUCCCCCAGUAGCGGCGAGCGAACGGGGAGGAGCCCAGAGCCUGAAUCAGCAUGUGUGUUAGUGGAAGCGUCUGGAAAGGCGCGCGAUACAGGGUGACAGCCCCGUACACAAAAGCGCAUGUGCUGUGAGCUCGAUGAGUAGGGCGGGACACGUGGUAUCCUGUCUGAAUAUGGGGGGACCAUCCUCCAAGGCUAAAUACUCCUGACUGACCGAUAGUGAACCAGUACCGUGAGGGAAAGGCGAAAAGAACCCCGGCGAGGGGAGUGAAAAAGAACCUGAAACCGUGUACGUACAAGCAGUGGGAGCCCCACCACCAAAGCAUUCUCUGGUGUUGAAGGCCCUGCAAAGCAGCAUCGCGGUGGCGGAGCGUCGUUUGCGACGCCCAACACACAAAACAAGCGGUGAGUGCUUUGGGGUGGGGUGACUGCGUACCUUUUGUAUAAUGGGUCAGCGACUUAUAUUCUGUAGCAAGGUUAACCGAAUAGGGGAGCCGUAGGGAAACCGAGUCUUAACCGGGCGUUAAGUUGCAGGGUAUAGACCCGAAACCCGGUGAUCUAGCCAUGGGCAGGUUGAAGGUUGGGUAACACUAACUGGAGGACCGAACCGACUAAUGUUGAAAAAUUAGCGGAUGACCUGUGGCUGGGGGUGAAAGGCCAAUCAAACCGGGAGAUAGCUGGUUCUCCCCGAAAGCUAUUUAGGUAGCGCCUCGUGAAUUCAUCUCCGGGGUAGAGCACUGUUUCGGCUAGGGGGCCAUCCCGGCUUACCAACCCGAUGCAAACUGCGAAUACCGGAGAAUGUUAUCACGGGAGACACACGGCGGGUGCUAACGUCCGUCGUGAAGAGGGAAACAACCCAGACCGCCAGCUAAGGUCCCAAAGUCAUGGUUAAGUGGGAAACGAUGUGGGAAGGCCCAGACAGCCAGGAUGUUGGCUUAGAAGCAGCCAUCAUUUAAAGAAAGCGUAAUAGCUCACUGGUCGAGUCGGCCUGCGCGGAAGAUGUAACGGGGCUAAACCAUGCACCGAAGCUGCGGCAGCGACGCUGAUGCGUUGUUGGGUAGGGGAGCGUUCUGUAAGCCUGUGAAGGUGGCCUGUGAGGGUUGCUGGAGGUAUCAGAAGUGCGAAUGCUGACAUAAGUAACGAUAAAGCGGGUGAAAAGCCCGCUCGCCGGAAGACCAAGGGUUCCUGUCCAACGUUAAUCGGGGCAGGGUGAGUCGACCCCUAAGGCGAGGCCGAAAGGCGUAGUCGAUGGGAAACGGGUUAAUAUUCCCGUACUUGGUGUUACUGCGAAGGGGGGACGGAGAAGGCUAUGUUGGCCGGGCGACGGUUGUCCCGGUUUAAGCGUGUAGGUGUGUGUUCCAGGUAAAUCCGGUUCACUUUAACACUGAGGCGUGAUGACGAGGCACUACGGUGCUGAAGCAACAAAUGCCCUGCUUCCAGGAAAAGCCUCUAAGCAUCAGGUAACAUCAAAUCGUACCCCAAACCGACACAGGUGGUCAGGUAGAGAAUACCAAGGCGCUUGAGAGAACUCGGGUGAAGGAACUAGGCAAAAUGGUGCCGUAACUUCGGGAGAAGGCACGCUGACACGUAGGUGAAGUGAUUUACUCAUGGAGCUGAAGUCAGUCGAAGAUACCAGCUGGCUGCAACUGUUUAUUAAAAACACAGCACUGUGCAAACACGAAAGUGGACGUAUACGGUGUGACGCCUGCCCGGUGCCGGAAGGUUAAUUGAUGGGGUCAGCGCAAGCGAAGCUCCUGAUCGAAGCCCCGGUAAACGGCGGCCGUAACUAUAACGGUCCUAAGGUAGCGAAAUUCCUUGUCGGGUAAGUUCCGACCUGCACGAAUGGCGUAAUGAUGGCCAGGCUGUCUCCACCCGAGACUCAGUGAAAUUGAACUCGCUGUGAAGAUGCAGUGUACCCGCGGCAAGACGGAAAGACCCCGUGAACCUUUACUAUAGCUUGACACUGAACAUUGAGCCUUGAUGUGUAGGAUAGGUGGGAGGCUUUGAAGCGUGGACGCCAGUCUGCAUGGAGCCGGCCUUGAAAUACCACCCUUUAAUGUUUGAUGUUCUAACGUGGACCCGUGAUCCGGGUUGCGGACAGUGUCUGGUGGGUAGUUUGACUGGGGCGGUCUCCUCCUAAAGAGUAACGGAGGAGCACGAAGGUUGGCUAAUCCUGGUCGGACAUCAGGAGGUUAGUGCAAUGGCAUAAGCCAGCUUGACUGCGAGCGUGACGGCGCGAGCAGGUGCGAAAGCAGGUCAUAGUGAUCCGGUGGUUCUGAAUGGAAGGGCCAUCGCUCAACGGAUAAAAGGUACUCCGGGGAUAACAGGCUGAUACCGCCCAAGAGUUCAUAUCGACGGCGGUGUUUGGCACCUCGAUGUCGGCUCAUCACAUCCUGGGGCUGAAGUAGGUCCCAAGGGUAUGGCUGUUCGCCAUUUAAAGUGGUACGCGAGCUGGGUUUAGAACGUCGUGAGACAGUUCGGUCCCUAUCUGCCGUGGGCGCUGGAGAACUGAGGGGGGCUGCUCCUAGUACGAGAGGACCGGAGUGGACGCAUCACUGGUGUUCGGGUUGUCAUGCCAAUGGCACUGCCCGGUAGCUAAAUGCGGAAGAGAUAAGUGCUGAAAGCAUCUAAGCACGAAACUUGCCCCGAGAUGAGUUCUCCCUGAGACUUAGAGUCUCCUGAAGGAACGUUGAAGACGACGACGUUGAUAGGCCGGGUGUGUAAGCGCAGCGAUGCGUUGAGCUAACCGGUACUAAUGAACCGUGAGGCUUAACCUUACAACGCCGAAG